AGAGGGAGCCAGAGCCCAAGAAGACGUCAAGAGUACGAGACCUGUGGAAGGAACUCGAAGAAGGGGGAAGGGGGCAGAGACCAGGUAGGUCUCAGGUAUUCAGGCGAGCGAAGCAGAGCCAGCCUUAAGAAAGCAGGCUGAAGCAGGCGAACAGGCGGUCGGUAAUAGCGGGGGGCAAACGUAAGGGGCCGCGGGAAGGUAAAGUGAGUUUUCGCUCGCGGCUGCUUUGCAAUGCCAGGCAGUCGAGGUGAGUCGAACCGAGUCGAGUCGAUCGCUGCCGAGCCUUAGCACCAGCAGUCAGUCUUGGACGUGGCCCCGUCGCAUCCUUCUCGUCUGCGUGAUCCUCGUGCAACGACCACCUGUCGGAAUCGACCGAUUUUAUCUAUCCUUACCACGAACGCUCCGCUUCGGUACCUCGAAAUGGCCGCGUUCUGAGAACCAACCGCGACCGAGGAUCGUCGAUGCAGUGAAUCAUCGAUCGGUUCGCCGAUCGAUCGCGGGACAUUGUUCUCUGAGGAGAACUCCAUCGAGCAGUGACUUUACUCGCCGAUCAACGAUGACGUCGCCGAACUGAGACUUCGCUCGUUUCCGUCGGUGCAGUGAUAUUUUGUGUGUGCGUAAACGGAGAUCAGCUGUGCAAGUUUCGGGAACCGCAUUCAACAGAUUGGCCUCACCGAGGCGGAAGGAGUUAAUCAACGAGGGGUGCCCAUGCCGAGCGUCAGGAAAAAUCAACAGGAGGGUCUCAGGCGCGCGAGAGGAAAAUUCUCAGAGGGUACGAGCCAGAGGAAUUCAGUGAAAGACUCGAGCCUGUGAGCGUGGACGACAUUGGACGAUCGCACGAGCACGUUCGAGCCUGAAAAUGUCAUCGAAAACGUGUUCCACGAUCAUGUCGGGACUGAUACUGUUGGUGUUGACGGUGAUAUACCGGGAGGCGCAAGGACACGUUGCCUUGACUUUUCCGCGAGCGAGGAAGUACGACUUGGACUUCCUGGAUAACGCCAGGACUCCUGGACCGUGUGGAAUGCCUCGUGGCGAUGUCAAGACUACUUUACUAUCUGGGAGCGACUUCAACGUCACGUGGCAUUUGGCUUACCCUCACCGAGGAGGAUUUCGACUGCAAAUCUUGGAUGCCCUCGACAGACCGCUGGUCGAUCUAACGCCCGUGACGAAAACCAGCGAAUUCGUGGAGGAUGACGCCACGGCGCAAAGUUACGCCGUGCAUUUACCUCAGAACUUCACGUGCACGGACUGUACGAUUCGACUACUGCGAGAGGCCGAGGAAUGGGGCGCGAGUUACAGAUUUUGGUCUUGCGCCGACGUCGAUAUUAUCGACAGAAAGGCGUACAGAGAAGAUUGCAGCGGCCACGGUCGGCAUCUCGUGGGCCGGUGCAGAUGCGACCGUCUGUAUCACGGGACGAGGUGCGAAUUUAAGGAGGAAUGCCUGGACGACUCCGACUGCGGUAUUCAGGGCACGUGCAUCGACAAUGGCGGCACGACCGCACCCACCAAGCAAUGCUACUGCAACAUCGGAUGGUUCGGUCCGGGUUGCGCGAAGAAAUCCCCGAUCAAGACCAUCGACGUGGACCUAGACGUUUACACGAUGAAGAAACUGUCCGACAACUUCACGUUCUAUUGGCGCGUGUUGAAGGACAGCAAAGAACUCGAGGGCGUGAUGGUAGUAAACGGGACGAGUUGGGUAGGUGUUGGCUGGCGACCAAGCGACCUGACUCCUGCCUGUCGAGCAUUCCCCGAUAUCCAAGAACGGCCGAAGGAUGAACCGCUGCCGCGACCAGAGCCAAAAUCGGAACCGGAACCAGAAUCGGAGCCGAAAGCCGAACCGAAACCGGAACCGGAGCCAGAGCCCGAGCCGGAGCUCGGAACGGAGAGGUCUGGUGCCAAGAGAAGAUCGGCCAAAGCCCACGACGCCGCCACGUUGGCCUCGACUCCGCGAUCGGACGUUGACGUCACCGUCCAAACCAGCGUCACUUAUCGCGUCAGUACCAAGCAAGGGCGUAAGAAGAGGUCUCCAGAAUCAGAGGUGCCCCCUGAAAACGGGGAACCCGUCGCCGAGCCGAGCACUGUCGUCAGCACCAACACCACGCCCGAACCCGUAUCCGAGCCAAAGUCCGAGCCAAAGUCCGAGCCCACAUCCGAACCAGAGCCUAAUUCCGAACCCAAGCUAAUAUCCACGUCCGUAGUCGAAACGAGAUCCCUAGCGGAACCCACUCCUAAAGCUGAACCGAGGUCCGAACCGGAACCCACCUCUCUUCCUGAACCGAAGUCUGAACCAGAGCCAGCGCCUAACCCAGAACCUACUUCCAAGCUUGAAUCGAGGUCCCAGUUGAAAUCCGUCAAAACAGAAUCACGGUCCCAAUCGCAAUCCUUUUCUACUCCUGAACCAGAACCUACAUCCGAACCAGAACCUAAAUCCGAGCCAGAACCUAAAUCCGAGCCAGAACCUAAAUCCGAGCCAGAACCUAAAUCCGAGCCAGAACCUAAAUCCGAACCAGAACCUAAAUCCGAGCCAGAACCUAAAUCCGAGCCAGAGCCCAAAUCCGAGCCAGAACCUAACUCCGAGCCAGAGCCCAAUUCAGAACCAGAGCCAAAGUCAGAGCCGGAGCCAAGUUCUGAACCGACCUCGGAACCGGAGCCAAUUUCGGGCCCUAAGUCGAGCGCUACAAAAGCGAUCCUGCCCGGACCAGGGCACAAGUACACGCCCAAGCACGACUUCAAUCCUAUGGACUGCACCGACAUGAUAAUCGGGUCCGCGCGUGGCAACAGUCACAGGAUCGGUGACUACUAUACUAGGGACAGGUCCACGCCGCGGAAGGACGAGUUUUGGGGUGGCAGGGACACUCUGACCGCCGCCAUGGGCUUCGAACGCGAUGGCGUCACCACGAUACUCUUCAGAAGAAAGCUGACAGCGAACGAACCGACCGAUCACGAAAUCAUAGACGGCGACAUGCAACUGAUAUGGGCGAAAGGACAAGAACCGGGCAAGUACGUUCACCACCCGCCCAGCGGCAUCGAGAAGGCCAAGGUCAGCGUCAAGGACUUCUACAAGGCCGACGAGCUCAAGUACCACGGACACGGCUCGCAAAGAGGAGCGUUGACGCUUAAUUUCUUUGAGGAGAAUAAGAAGCAGGAGAUGGGCAGCGGCGAGACAACUGUACAGACCUCGAGCUGCAGUGGCGAGUGGCAUUACCCUAGACAGUGUUCACCUGAAAAUGGUACCUGUGAAUACUCUAUUCAAUGGAUGUACAAAGGACGAAAGGAUCAAUUAUCGUUUGUCAUCUCGACCACCCACACGAACAGCUGGACCGGCGUUGGAUUCUCCGAUGACGAAAAAAUGUCGCAGACGGACGCAGUGCUGGGCUGGGUCGACGAUAAAUCCGGUCGGGCUUUUCUCAUGGACACUUGGAUCAGCGGAUACAACGCCCCGCUACUCGAUCCGUCUCAAGAUAUUUACAAUACCGGCGGGAGCAAGGUAGACGGUGUAACGACUCUCAAGUUCUCGAGGAAGCGAGUGACAAAGGACAACAGGGAUCUCUCGUUCACGGACGAGCACUGCUUGUACAUGAUGUAUCCUGUCAAGGGAGGCAUCUUCAACGCCGUCAGCAAGAAAAUACGCAAACACGACGCUGUGCCUGUCGUCUCGUCCGAAAGGAUAUGCAUAAAAUCUUGCGGCGCCGGAGAACUCGACGAACUCACGACACCGGCACCGCCGAGGCUGCACUACGACGUGGAAGUGAAGCUAGUGAACCUGGGCGACGGUUUCACGGCGCCCGCUCCGGGUAGCACCGACUUCGAAGUUAUUUCGAACAGGAUAGCGGACAGCUUUGGCCCGGUUCUGGACAAGCUGCCGGGGUAUUACCAGAUUCAGCUCAGCGAGUUGCACAAAGACGAAGAGCAGAACGGCGUUAUCGCGCAUAUGGAUUUGAUCUUAGACAAGAACGAAGUCAAGGGCAGAUCGCUGAAGCCAGUGGAUACCGGCGCGGCUGCGGAGAAAGCGCUGAAAGAAGCUCUCGUUAGCGGGAAAGUCGGAGCCCUCAGCGUCGAUCCGCAGUACUUGAUCGUUAGAGCUCCUCGAGUAAACGACUUGGGUGGAGGAGAUGCAGACGAAGGAACGUCAUUCACGUCGGACCUGUUCCUCGACGCCACCAAGCUGUACAUCGUCGUCGGUUGCGUUGCCGCGUUGCUUGCCCUCGCCCUACUGCAAGCAAGCUGCACCCUCUACAGAUCCUCGAGGAGACGAGCGACGAAGGUACACCGUCCGUCAUUUAACUGUUCCCCUCUUUUUUUUUUUUUUUGUUUAUGUUCAAUUUCUUCUCUUCGCUGUUUCCACUCGCGUCCACCAAUUUUAUACCUUUCUCUCUGUCUCUUUGUAUUUUGUGUGCAUCUAACUCUCUUUUUGCAACGAUCGUAGCGCUGCGUUGAUUCUCGAUCACGUAUAGGAAACGUUCGAGUCGAAACGCGUUUCCUUUUCGAGCUCCUGGAUACAGGAGUACAGUCUUUAACGGGGUGAGUUGAGCCUCGAACGUUUAAAUACGCGUAACAAAACUCAAAUAUUAGUCUUCGAGGUUUUCGAGGUUCGACUACCCGAUUAAGGUUUAAAGACUCCGGGCAGCUUGCAAUAAGAAUCAUCCGUUCUCCGUCGGUUUCUGAAUUAUUAACGGACAGAAUAGAUUCAUGUGUGUUGUACCAAAUUGUUAUACCGUUGGAGUAGUUGUCCCAGCCCUGUUCGAGACACGCCGAACUCGAUUCUCCAUCUUUUUUUUUCACUCUUGUGAACCCCGGUACCGAUCUUCUGCUUCGCUUGUGUUGCAUGACCCGCGCUCUCCGCGACCAUCACGUUGGUAAAGAGGGUGUACUCGCUGCCUCUGGCUUCCUCCGAUGCUCCCAACCCGAUUCAUCGCACGAACGCGACGCGGUAUCAUCGACAAAAUGGCGAUCACCAUCACCACCACAACCACCAUCACCAUCAUCUUCGGCAUCAUCACCAACAUGCUCCGUACGAAAUGCAUCGUCCUAAUCCCAGCUGGUAGAACUUCAAACUCGGUAUCACGAUCGGGCGCGCUAAUAUUACUCGUCGUACGAUCGUUUGCUCACUAAUCCAGGAUCGCCUGAUCGCCAGUAACGCUUGGAAAGACUACGCCUCUGGCGCGAACACGAACUUCGCCUUCGAGGCGUUCGAGACGGAAGAGAAGGCGCCUCCGCCGCCGGUAUCCAGUUUGCCACGGCAUCGCGACAUGACG